ensembl:lncRNA
AUGAAGGUGCUGAAUGCCAUGUCAGAAGAUAGUACAGACAGCCAGCAGAAGAGUGUGGAGCAGGAGCAGACAGAGUUCCACUCUUCAGAUCCCCAGAGUUCCUCUGAGAGUCUGCUUGUACAAACUGAAUCCCUUGAACCACACUCAAACAUAGAGUCUUUAAAGGAAAUGACCCAGAGCAAGCUAGUGAUUAGUGAAGAAGUUGCUACAGAAAGUUAUUUGCAGGACCCUGAUCGGAUAGACAUGAAUGCUGCUGAUACCUAUGUUGAGGAAAGUACCACAUCACAGGACAUUGAUCAAGUAGAUUAUUUAGUAGACAUGAAUGUUGCCCAGAAGGAUAUUGCUGAUGAAAAUGUUGGAGAAACUACAAGAUUACAGGACACUGGUCAAGUAGACUGUUUGGUAAAUACAAAUGUUGUGCAGAAGGUCACUGCUGAAUACUGUACUAGAGAGUGUACUACAUCACAGGACACUGGUCAAGUAGUUGGUUUGGUAGAUAUGAAUAUUACCCAGAAGGACCUUCAAGACAAAGAAAGUGUUGAAGAAAGUACCUCAUCAUAUGACACUGGUCAAGUAAGCUGUUUGGUGGAUGUGGAUCUUGUACAGAAGGACAUUGCUGAAGACUUUAUUAGAGAAAAUACUACAUCACAAGACACUGAUCAAGUAGACUGUUUGCUAGACAUGAGCGCUGAAAAGAAGGACCUUACUGAAAAUUACACAGGAGAAAGUACCAGAGCACAGAACUCACCAAAUCCACCUCCUGAUGUGGUUCCAGAAGGUGAUUCUUGGAUGAAGGUACUGAAAUCAGACUAUCCUCUUUUUAACACAGGGUCAUCUCCCUCUGACAUUACAGAACCUGAAAUAGCUUCCUCUACAGAAGCCAAUGAGACAAACACUGGGGCUCUGUACUCUGGACAUUCUGUCUCUGUACAGAUGCCAUCCUCCCUGGCUUAUGUUUCCCAGAGUUCCCUGAGCGGAAGCCGUAGCCACAGCCCUUCCCUAGGGCCCACCUCCCCUAGCCGCACCCAACAUGGAAGACAGUCCUUCUUCCAUAGGGUCCAUUCAGAUGUAGACAACCCUUCAGACCCUCUCAGUGGUCCCACCACCCACACACCAUCUGAACUAGUAACCCCGUCACCCCAGUGUUCUCAGGAGAGCUCUAGAGGCCUCUGGAAUUUCCGGUUGCGCUCCACAUCUUUGGAGAUGGGCACAUCAGACGAUGAGGACAGGCGCUGGGAGGGGGCGCUGUGGGCCGGCGCUCAGUGCUGCUGCUCCUGUGACCACAACUGCGGCUGCUGCUGCAAGAGCAAGAGUGGUUAUAAGCAGCACUCCGGCACCGUGGACCAGCUGCACACUGCCUUCAGUCUGCCAUAUUCUUUGGAUGAACUGGAGGGCAUGAUGAGAUGUAUGAGGAAGUUCCGGCGGGUGUUAUCAGAGAUCGAAAAGAGGUUGGAAGAAGAGCAGACGUCAGUGCUCAGCUCUUUGUCAGAUGCACACAGGGCAGAGGUGCAGGAUGUGUUGGAGCUGAGGACAGCUGUCAAACAGGAAGCAGUGCUGCUGGAGCAGCAGCUAACUGAUUUGGUCCAUGCUUAUGAUGACAACAUUAAAAUGAAGCUGAACAGGCUUUUGGAUGAGCAGUCUCAGCUGUGCUCCCAGUUGCAGAUUAUUCCUUCUGACACACCUCACUCAGCCCAUAUCUCCAUGAGAAGUGUGGCCAUUCAGUGCUGCUUGCUGCCCAUGAUGGACACCACACAGCCAGGCCUCUUUCAGCAGGCCACCAAAGAUGCAAAUUUCACCUACCAUGAUGAAUGGAGCCCUGGCAGCAAGGCUGACAAGCUGGACUUUGUAGGGUUUAUCAAAAGUGUAAGCCCCCUCACCAUUCUCUUUUCAGAUGACUGUGAUUUGUAUCAACCUUCUUGAAUAGCUUUUCACUGCUCUCUUCCUUUUCAGUUAAAGGAUGUAUCCAUCAGCAAUGACUCACUGGAAUGAAAAGGUUAGUGUCAGUGAAAUAAAUUCUCUCACUUACUAAAUGUUCAGUGCAGCUUUAGUGAUUGUAUUACUUUUAAUGAUAAGCAUUUUUAAUCAUUAUUAGAAUUUAAUUCACAUAAAAGAAAUAUUAUUACAAUUGCUUUAUUUUCCUUUUCAGUUCUUCAGUGUCAAGAGUGAAGAGAAUAUUUGCACUUUGGUGUAGUAUUUUGGAGUUAGUUAAAUUUUAUUUUCUAUUUUAAAAUAUUUUAUGAAUUGAUUAAAUUUUUUUGUGUAAUGCACUGAGACAUGCUGUAAAUAUUUAAGACCAAUAAAGAACAUACAAUAUGAAAAACUAACAUCAUUUCUAUUCUGAUGUUGUGCACAUUGUCCACAUGGGUCACCCUUUAAAAUAUGAAAUAAGCUCAAAAAUUUUUGGUUGAUCUCACACAAAUGGAUCAAAAUAUUUGAAACUUACAAGCUUCUUCUUCUUCUUCUUUCGGCUGCUCCCUUUAGGGGUCACCACAGCAGAUCAUCUGCCUCCAUCUUGCCCUAUCCACUGCCUCCUCUACUUUUACACCAACCAUCUCCAUGUCCACCUUCACUACAUCCAUAAACCUUCUCUGAGGUCUACCUAUUCUCCUUCUAUCUGGCAGCUCCAUCUCCAACAUUCUUUGCCCAAUAUAUCCACUAUUCCUCCUCAACACAUGUCCAAACCAUCUCAACCUGGCCUCUCUGGCUUAAUCUCCAAACUGCUCCACCUUCACUGUCCCUCUUAUCUGCUCAUUUCUAAUCUUGUCCAUCCUUGUCACUCCCAACAAAAAUCUCAGCAUCUUCAUCUCCGCCACUUCCAGCUCAGCCUCCUCUCUUUUAGACAGAGCCACAAUCUCCAAACCAUACAUUAUAGCAGGACGCACUACUGUCCUGUAAACCUUCCCUUUCACUCUUGCUGCUAUCCUUCUGUCACACAUCAGCCCUGACACCCGUCUCCACCCACUCCAUCCUGCCUUCACCCUCUUCUUCACCUCUUUUCUGCACUGUCCAUUGCUCUGGAUGGUUGACCCAAGAUAUUUGAAGUCAUCCACCUUUACGACCUCUACUUCUUGCAUCUUCACCUUUCCACCUGCCUCCCUCUCAUUCACACACAUGUAUUCCGUCUUGUCUCUACUGACCUUCAUUCCUCUCCUCUCCAGUGCAAAGCUCCACCUCUCCAGAUUCUCUUCCACCUGCUCUCUACUCUCACCACAGAUUACAAUGUCAUCUGCAAACAUCAUGGUCCAUGGAGCCUCCUGCCUGACCUCAUCUGUCAACCUGUACAUCACCAUUGCAAACAAGAAGGGGCUCAAAGCUGAUCCCUGUUGUAAACCUACCUUCACCUUGAAACCAUUUGUCACUCCAACUGCACACCUCACCACUGUCUCACUAUCCUCAUACAUGUCCUGCACCACCCUAACAUACUUUUCAGGUACACCUGACGUCCUCAUACAGCACCACAGUUCCUCUCUUGGCACCCUAUCAUAUGCCUUCUCUAGAUCCACAAAGACACAAUGUAGCUCCUUCUGACCUUCUCUCUACUUCUCUAUCAACACUCUCAAUGCAAAAAUUACAUCUGUGGUACUCUUUCUGGGCAUGAAACCAAACUGCUAUUUGAAACUUACAAGCAUCUGGUCUAAAUGCCCCACACAAAGAAGGCUGUGUAACCCAUCAUCAGAAAUUUUAAUUAACUUUGUUUACCUUUGAUUUUCUUCUAGUAACUGAAGUUAUGAUUACUUUAUGUAGUCAUGUUUACAUGUAACAAAAAUUAUUUACCCUAUUCUGCCUUUUUUUAGGAUUACAAACCUUCUUCUUCUUCUUCUUCUUCUUCUUCUUCUUCUUCUUCUUCUUCUAAUACUACAGCUAUUACUACUACUACUACUACUACUAUAUUAUUAUUAUUAUUAUUAUUAUUGUUAUUGGAUUUCAAUCUACCAAACAGAUUUUGAAAGCAGAUUUCACUGUUAUAUUCAAAAAACCUCUCCUAUUAUUUCUGAGAUGAUGUAUUCAGAGCCACUCCACACACACACACACACACACACACACACUUCACUGAAGAGGAGUAAAUACCAUUCACAGCUCAGCGCUGUAUAAGACAUCAAAGCUCUCUCUCUGUUCCAAACUCUGAGUACUGCUGUCCCUUUGUUAUGGGCAAACACUGCACAAACAUUUUAACUAAUCUAUUAUUAUACUUUCCUCUUCAGGGUUUUUGUGAUCAGAUUCUCCGCAAAAUUUAUAUACACUUAUCUUCAUCUUAAUAGUUCCAUUGAUAAAUUUACUGAUAUGCAGUAAUGGGAAAUGGUGUGUUGCAGUGAAAGAGAUGUCUAUUUUGGUUUCUUUUAUGCAAUGCGUUGUAUAUACUUUCAGCAUUUUUUUCUUCUAUUAAUUCCCUUUACGUUACUCCAGGUCCAUGACCCCCCCCCCACGCCUCCCCCACGGUCCCUGCUUUUCCUAAAGGUCCACUAAGCUUUACAUGUUGAAAUAGUAAUUCAAACUGUUGAAAUAGGUUAAUUAGGUACUCUUUGAUAUUCAUACACGACACAUCAUAAGGGCUUCUGUCGCCGUGACAACUGUCACUAAUGGAGAAGGAGUUGGAGCCCCUCCUCCAUGCUACAUAACCCCUCUCUUUGAGGUGGCCUUUCAGUCUCUUCUGCUCUGUCUCCAUCUCUUUAUUGCUGGGGUAAGUUCUGCUCUCUCUUUCUUUAAUCCCUACAGCCUUUGAAUGGUCAGUGUUUGGCAUAUACAUUUAGGAUUUAGAUUUAAUUAUUAACAUUAAAAUAUCAACUUCAUUCUCUAUUUUUACUCAUGAAAAGUGUUUCUUUAGAACAUUAUUGUAACUAACCAAUAAUACCAUUGUCUUAAGGUCAUUUUUGUGCUUUCAAAGUGUGUGUGU